rnacentral:rRNA from 1 species
GAUGAACGCUGGCGGCGUGCCUAAUACAUGCAAGUCGAGCGAACAGAUGAGGAGCUUGCUCCUCUGACGUUAGCGGCGGACGGGUGAGUAACACGUGGAUAACCUACCUAUAAGACUGGGAUAACUUCGGGAAACCGGAGCUAAUACCGGAUAAUAUAUUGAACCGCAUGGUUCAAUAGUGAAAGACGGUUUUGCUGUCACUUAUAGAUGGAUCCGCGCCGCAUUAGCUAGUUGGUAAGGUAACGGCUUACCAAGGCAACGAUGCGUAGCCGACCUGAGAGGGGGGUCGGCCACAGUGGAACUGAGACACGGUCCAGACUCCUACGGGAGGCAGCAGUGGGGAAUCUUCCGCAAUGGGCGAAAGCCUGACGGAGCAACGCCGGGUGAGUGAUGAAGGUCUUCGGAUCGUAAAACUCUUUUAUUAGGGAAGAAAAAAUGUGUAAGUAACUAUGCACGUUUUGACGGUACCAAAUCAGAAAGCCACGGCUAACUACGU